rnacentral:misc_RNA from 1 species
UUUAAAUUUACCAAAUUCAGGAGUCAAAUCACGUAUAACGCACCAACUCCAAUAGUCCCCACUUAUAAAAUAUUACUUUCUUUACGCGUUUUAGAAUCAUACUUCAGAAUGCAGCCAGAAGCCAAGAAAUUUAAUUAUGGGCGCCUUGGUUUCGUUAGGAAACUCCACGAGCUAAUAGGACAAUUCAACCACAAUUUGCGGGCCAGUCAUGCUGAACCGAUGGACAAAGGAAAAGUGAAGGUAAUGUUUACACAGCCACAAUUUCCUGGCAAUACUUCGUAACAGACUAACAGCAUUCCCAUUUCACAGAAUCACAGUGGCGCAUAACCGAAUAAGUCGACACAAGUUAGCUAACAGUACAUUUCCAUUCCAGAAAGCCAGCCAUACAUGCUUCUUAUACAUCAAGUGUUUUACGCAAUAAGUGUUUUCCGCUAUUUACAUCCACUGAAGUGAGCGUCUUUCUAUUCAACCAAAGCUUUUCCGGCCACACGUAAAAAAUCAAACCUUAAAAAUUGUGUUACUUGUACCUAUAAUGAUCAACCAUCACAUGUCAAUUGCGAUGGAGUCCAUGAAAACAUUAAGAUAGACCAGAAUGUAAAAUUAAAAUAGGAAAUUCCAGGAACACCAACCAAAUCAAAUUGAAUUUCCUAUUUUGGUUAUUUAUUGCAACAACAAAAUGAUGCUAUUCCUUGUCAUCUACCUCAUCUACCUCUCAUCUGCAACCACCCUCCUUAGCCUAGGAGCAAUGCCUAGAGCGAUUGACAUUCCCCAUCAAUUAGAAUCAUUUUUUCCAUUCUAAAAUAACUAUAUCAAACAAUUACACAAUAGAAAGCCUAAUACAUUUAAAAAGGCUCUUUGACUCAGAAACUAAAGUGGCAAUUUCAUUACUCAAUUGUUCUGAAUAGAUGUAACUGACAAGCAAUGAUCCCACUAUAACAGUAAUUACCAGGCUUUUAUUUCUUUUUCAACACCUCAUGAGUUUGUUCUUGGGGUGUAAGGAAGACGGGCAAGGCAGUUUGGAUAAGUGGGGCGUAAUUAGGUUCUCAUUCAUUAUUUUGAAAUUUUAAUCUACAGAGUUUUAGCCAAGUUGAUGACACAUGAUGUCAACUUCUAAGGUAUUCAUGAAUACAAUCACCUUUGUCAAUAGCAAGUAUUAACAUCAAAUAACAAAAUAUAACUCACAUCUACCUAGUGAUGAAAUAAAGACAAUUAUGAACUCCCUUAAUCAAACUGGCAAAAAAAAAAGCUGCUAAUUCCAAGCUGGUGAAAACAAGUUAAACUUACACAAAAGCAUACUUAUCAAUAAAAACAUCCAUUAAUCUCAGUGAGAAACUCGUGUAAAUGAUAGUCUCCCAAUUGCUUAGACAACGUGUAUGGUGAGAUACAAUUUAAGGAUCAUGGAAACCAGCAUUGACUUUGCCAAAUGCAAAGGCUAACCAGACAGCAGAUACAUAAUUUGUUUACCAAAGGAUUGAAAAUAAGCACUGUUAAUAAUGUUACCUGGACGUCAUGCACAUCCAAAGAUUUAGGAAUGUGUCCAGCUGUUGGACUUGUUUAUUUCCAAAUUUAUACUUUCAACUAAUUUAAAGAGUCAGAGCAUGCCGACAUCCAAACAUCACUAUCUGACGUCUAUACUUUAGGGUAAUUGAUGAGUCAAAAUAACCAAGGGUAGCACAAUAGAAGGUCCACUACUGUCAGCCAACAACCUGCUCAAUAUAUGAAGACAAAACACCAAUAGUUUCUCCACUCACAUUCUCCUCAAAAUGAAAUCCCACCAUUUCAGAAGGCCUUUAUUUUACAAUAAUUUGAACAUACCAAAAAGAUUAGAUGAUAAUGAUGGAGAAAGAGAGAGAACUGCUAGGAGACACCACUCAUAUUAGCAAUCCAGGCCCACAAUCGAAAAUUUCCUUCUCUUUGCAAUGCAUCCGAAUAAUCCAUUUAUAAACACAAAAACACAUCUAACAUCUGAGAUAAAAUACAAUCUAGUGCUAACAAUUUUAAGUCAGCAACGCUAAAACCAGUAAACCAUCAGAAUUAAAUCCUCAAUUCAAAAGACUACGAUUGAAACCUAUCAGGACAUUGGAAUUACAAGAUUUUCUAGAGUCAGAAAUCAUGCACUCAGACAAAGACUACCUCAUUAAUUCUGUCAGCAUGAUAUGCAUAUCAUAAUUAAUGUGCUACCUAACUUGCCAAGCAUUUCAAGAGAAUCACGUAUGUCCCAAACCUAAAAUCAGAAAACAAUCACUUAAAUAGAAAGCACAUAGCCAAAAUCCACAAUCUUGCCUCACAAAAUUCAAGGAGAAACCCUAAAGAGAUACUGUGAUACAACAAUAUAUGAGUAGCUGAAACAAUAAUCUCAAUUGACAUUGAUUCAUUUUCGUCCACACUAACAGAAAAUAAGCAGAAAACAGCAUUAUAAGCACUUGUAAGACAUACUAAAAGUAUGAAUUAUUCAAAAUCAUUUAACAAAGCGAUAAUUUUGCCUCAUAGACAUGAUAUUUUUUUUGUCAAAUCAUAGAAAGAGGUAGAAAAGAACUCACAUGGAAAAUUAACACCAGCUUUCAUUUCAAUCUUCCUCGCCGAAUAGAAUGCGAAGGCGAGAUGCGAAGAGGCCGGUAGGGUCGAGAGAGGCUUCGUGGAGUAGGCCACGCUUGAUGUUAUUCAAUCGAUCGGUUAGGGUUUGCUGCUCUUGCUUAAGAGCUGAAGUGUCUUCCUGAAGGUCAUGGAGACGGUACUUUUGACCUAAGGAUCUGAUACUCAAAAGCAGUAUCCCUGUCAUUGCGAAGAACUGGAUGAAACUGUCUUUGCGCUUCAUUGCGUUUGCUAUAAACCCUAACGACUUUCUAGAGCUUUGGGCGGCUGUGGUAUUGGCUGAGCCCGGCGGCACUGAGGAUGCCAUGUCGCCAAAAUACGUCUGCUAAAGCACUCAAUGCAGCGAAACAGAGAGUCAGGAGAGCUGUGGUUCGGCUAUAAGCGCCCCACGGUGAAAAUAGAAAAACGACGCCGAUGAAUGCGACUGUUGAAUAUAUUUUUCUAACGAGACAAAAGCGAAAUCGGUCCAGUUGGCUUUUUGAUUCAAGGGAUCAAAAU